GGUUAACUAAACCUAAAAUAAAUUUAAGCAAAACAUUACUAUACAAGUAAAGGUGAUUGAUUUGUUUAUUAGUAAAUUACCGUGAGGGAAAUAACUUAAACUAGGGGAAAGAAAAAAUAUAAGUUUUUACCUUUUGUAUCAUGGUUUAGCAAGAUUAAUUUUUGAAUAAAGUUUCUCGAAAUCUGAUGAGCUAUUUUUGGUUUUCUUUAGGAAGUAAAAUUGGCUGUGGCAAAAGCCUUCAAAAAACUAAAAAUAGAUAUGAAAUUUUAUACGCGUUAGAUGAUAGCUAGUUCCCCUUGAAAGACAUAUAAGUGUUCAAAGUUGUUUAUCCUAAGUAAUUCUUUUAUACCGGAAUGGCAACUUUGUUGACUUUUUGAGGAUAAGCUCGAAAAAGGAAGUUUAAACCAGAAGUGAGGUUAUAAGCUUGAAAGUAGCUAUUAAGUUGAGUUUGUUAUAAUUCACUCGUGGUUUUUGGUAGAUUUACUGUGUUAUAUAAAGGGGUGAUCUUUUCAAUUUAUUUAGGUACACUUAUGCUAAAAUGAGUAUUUUGUUAUUUGAUUUUUCUAAGACUUCAAGAAAAGGAACUUAAAGAAAAUUUUUUUUGAAAAACUAUUAAAAGGAACUCGGCAAAGCACUAUUCUGCCUGUUUAUCAAAAACAUGUCUCCGUGUCAGUAAGAAAAUACGGAGUCGGACCUGCCCGGUGAUUAAUUUUCAUUGUUUAACGGCCGCGGUACUCUGACCGUGCAAAGAUAGCAUAAUAAUUUGCCUUAUAAUUGAAGGCUUGGAUGAAUGGUCUGACAAGAAUAAAGCUGUCUCUUUAUAGUUAAUUAGAAUUUUAUUUAUAGGUGAAAAAGCCUAUAUAUUAUUGAUAGACAAGAAGACCCUAUCGAGCUUUAAAAAAUUGUGAUAUUAAAUAUAGCAGUCAUUUUGGUUGGGGCGACAGAGGAACAGCUUAAGCUUCCUUAGUGAGUAAUUACGGGCUUGUGAUGAUCCAAAAAUUUUGAUUAAUGGAAUUAGUUACCGUAGGGAUAACAGCAUAAUCCUCUUUAAGAGUUCGUAUCGAAAAGGGGGUUUGUGACCUCGAUGUUGGACCAGGGCAUCCUAAAGAUGCAGCAGUCUUUAAGGGUUGGUCUGUUCGACCAUUAAAGCCCUACGUGAUCUGAGUUCAGACCGGCGUGAGCCAGGUCAGUUUCUAUCUUCAAUUUUAAGAAAAAGCUUAGUACGAAAGGACCAGCUUUUUCCAAACUAUUUUGGUUUUUUAGAUAUGGUAUAAUAAAAAGUUA
rnacentral:rRNA from 1 species